rnacentral:rRNA from 1 species
UCUGUAAGCCUGCGAAGGUGUGCUGUGAGGCAUGCUGGAGGUAUCAGAAGUGCGAAUGCUGACAUAAGUAACGAUAAAGCGGGUGAAAAGCCCGCUCGCCGGAAGACCAAGGGUUCCUGUCCAACGUUAAUCGGGGCAGGGUGAGUCGACCCCUAAGGCGAGGCCGAAAGGCGUAGUCGAUGGGAAACAGGUUAAUAUUCCUGUACUUGGUGUUACUGCGAAGGGGGGACGGAGAAGGCUAUGUUGGCCGGGCGACGGUUGUCCCGGUUUAAGCGUGUAGGCUGGUUUUCCAGGCAAAUCCGGAAAAUCAAGGCUGAGGCGUGAUGACGAGGCACUACGGUGCUGAAGCAACAAAUGCCCUGCUUCCAGGAAAAGCCUCUAAGCAUCAGGUAACAUCAAAUCGUAC